AGAGUUUGAUCAUGGCUCAGAUUGAACGCUGGCGGCAUGCUUAAUACAUGCAAGUCGAACGGUAACAUACUCUUCGGAGUGAUGACGAGUGGCGGACGGGUGAGUAAUACAUAGGAAUCUACCUAGUAGUGGGGGACAACCUGGGGAAACUCAGGCUAAUACCGCAUGUUUCUUACGAGAUAAAGAGGGCCUCUUCUUGAAAGCUCUCGCUAUUAGAUGAGCCUAUGUCAGAUUAGCUAGUUGGUAGGGUAAAAGCCUACCAAGGCUACGAUCUGUAGCUGGUUUGAGAGGACGAUCAGCCACACUGGGACUGAGACACGGCCCAGACUCCUACGGGAGGCAGCAGUAGGGAAUAUUGGACAAUGGGCGAAAGCCUGAUCCAGCAAUGCCGCGUGUGUGAAGAAGGCCUGCGGGUUGUAAAGCACUUUUGUUUGGGAGGAAAAGCUUAAAGUUAAUACCUUUAAGUGUUGACGUUACCAAUAGAAUAAGCACCGGCUAACUCUGUGCCAGCAGCCGCGGUAAUACAGAGGGUGCGAGCGUUAAUCGGAAUUACUGGGCGUAAAGCGUGCGUAGGCGGUUAAAUAAGUCGGAUGUGAAAGCCCAAGGCUUAACCUUGGAAUUGCAUUCGAUACUGUUUAGCUAGAGUACAGUAGAGGGAAGCGGAAUUCCUAGUGUAGCGGUGAAAUGCAUAGAUAUUAGGAAGAACACC
rnacentral:rRNA from 1 species